rnacentral:lncRNA from 1 species
GUUUCAAUCCAUCAACUAGUAAAACAUCAUCAAUGGAAAAACUAAAUUUGUUACCAAUAGUUCCCUUGCCAAUGAUUUUGCCUUUGUUGUUGUCUCCGAAGGUGACGUACCCUUCUUCUUUGCUAGUGAGCAUAGAGAAAUGAGAUGGAUCUCCAAUCAUAUGUCUUGAGCAUCCACUAUCGAGAUACCAUCUCUUGCUCCUAGCUUGUGGGUUUGUCUACAAAAGAGGACGACUUUUAGGUACCUAUUUGAUUUUGGGUGCCUCAAAAAUUGAUCCACUAACUUUGUUAUUUAUUAUUGAAUCCUUUAUAGUUCCUUUAGGAACCCAUAUUAAUUUUUGUGAACUAAUUUUCCUAAAUGGACAUUUGUAGGCAAUAUGUCCGGAUUUGCAACAGAAGUUGCAUUUCAUAUAAGAGGAAACAUGUAAUGUAGGUCCUUUUAUGAAAG